rnacentral:rRNA from 1 species
GCUUACGGCCGUUUCGCAAUGUCGAGCCUAGUUAGUACUUAGAUGGGUGACCACUUGGGAAACCCAAGUGUUGUAUGCA